AGGAAACGUCUACUUAAUUUUACAUAUACAGGUUAAUACAAUUGGCUAUCUUUAUUAAUGAAUUGAAACGAUCAUUCAUAGUCUAAACAAGCUAUGAAAGUUGAUUAGUAGGUUGGCAGUGGUCACUGCUACCCAGAACAAUAUGUACAACAUGUUCAUGAAAAGUUUUAUAAGUUACAAAGACAAGUUACGUGAUUAAGCUACAUGUAUAUGAUCAUUGCCUUUGCAAGUUUUCUCAUGCGCGAAAUCCCCAGAAUGCUGCAUAGAAUUCUUUUUGCAGAUGCUGCUACGGAAACUGAUGAUCAUGUCGUGUGAUAUUCAUUUCACUUUGUCAUUGCCUAAGUUUGAGUUAGGAGAAUCAAAGGAAAAUAGUUCACUAUCACUAGAGCUAUAUGAUCCGUAUCCCUUUGUAGAGUUUUGAACAUAACCAUCUUGAGGACUACUAGACGCAUUGAACUGUGGAGCAUCUGCAUGUCCGUCUCCAAGUGAUGGUAGAAAUUGUACAGUUCUCGAAUCCACUGCUACACUCUCCAAUUUUAUCAUCUCUAUCCUUUGAAUAGCUUCUCUUAGAUCUAACCGUUGCACAGGAUUACUUGCAGCACAAAGAGCUCCUAUGUGGAUAAGCUGCCUCAUCUCCCCAACUGAAUUUGAGGAACUUGCAAUUUCUGGAUCAAGCAUGUCGUAUUCUUUCCCCUCAGAAAUUUUAGUUUCCGCCCAUUGGACUAGAUCAAUCCCACCUUUGCCAUUGUUAAGAUAUUGAGAGGGAUAUUUUCCAGUGAGGAUUUCAAGAAUGAUUAGUCCUAAACAGUAUACGUCACAUUUAGGAGAUACCCCAAAUUGUGUAGCUUCUGGGGCCUUAUAGGCAAUUAGAGCUUGUCCUACAACUGAGGGGUUGGCCAGUGUAUUGUAUCCAAAAUCUGAAAGCAAUGGUUCAUUAUCAGGACUAAGGAGGACAUUGCUUGAUUUGAGAUUGCCGUGGGGUAAGGCACAGGAAGCAAGUUCAGUAUGAAGAUAACCCAACCCUCUAGCAAUUCCUUGGACAAUCUUGAGACGGGUAGGCCAAUUGAGCUCAGAAUGUGAGGCUCCCUUGUCACCUGAAAUAUUAUCUACUUUUUAACAGAUUCAUAAAUGUCAUGGAAAAGAUAAUAAUCAUGAGAAAUGCAAACAUAUUCCUUUGUGGCAAGCUAGAUUGACAGGUAAAUUCACAAGUAACAGAAAAAGAAAUUAUAUCGAAAGUGCAUAGUUCAUGGAAAGAACUGAAGAAGUUCAAUAUGUACCGUGCAACAAAUAAAGCAAACUUCCUUUAGGUAUGUACUCGUAGAUCAACAGCUUCUCAUCCUUCCGAAAAUGAAAAGCCAAUGGUGGCAAAAUGUUAGCAUGCUUUAGCCUUCCAAGCAUUCUCAUCUCUGCAUCAAAUCCAUCUCUUCCCAAUGCAUUCAUUUCUCUCAAUCUCUUAACCACCACUGCCACACCAUUAGCCAACAGAGCUUUAUAUGAAGAUCCCAAUCCCCCAUUUCCAAGCACUUCUGCAGCAGCCUUCAUCAAAUCUGUUAGCCCAAAAACACCCUUUUCAUUAUUCAUAACUACUAAUUCACCUACACCGCCUUUGGCACUACUAGGUCCUUUGCGAGUUGAUCCUGGUUUUUUGGUUAAUUCCAUUUCCUUCUGUCUAACUGGCAUCGAAAUUUGCACUUCUACUGCCUCAACUGCCUCAUCAUCAGUAUUGUUUUGUACACCAGCUUCUAAAUCAUCUUCUUUCCUCCUCAUUUUAAAUAUUAUCACAGCUGCAACACAAAGCAACAUGACAGCCAAUGUUAUAAUCCCUGCACCUCUCUUCAUAAAGUUACUAGCAUCGUUCUUAGAAAUAUUCAUAGGAAUGGUUUUUGCAAAGACCCCUGGUGCUACUGCUUCAGUCGCGGCAUUACACUCUUUACCAAUCUUCUCUCCGCAAAGGUCAGCAUUUCCCUCGAAGGAACUCUUGCUGAAUUUGGCUAAACCAUCGGGGAUUUCCCCACUUAACUUAUUGUUUGACACAUUGAAUGAUGUCAAUUUUGAUUGCAUUACAGGUGGAAUAGCCCCACUGAACUGAUUAUCUUCAAGAUGCAAUUCAAUAAGAUUGGAUAAGUGAAUGACUGAUGGUGGAAUUUUUCCCGAAAACUUGUUAUUCGCAAGCCAAACUUUCUUCAAGGACUGCAUUUUCGAGAAGAACUCUGCUUGGAUCUCGCCCGAGAAUUGGUUUCCUGUCAAGUAUAUAUUCUUCAAAUAACCUAAACGAUUGAAUUCAGGAAUCGAACCCGAAAAAGAAUUAUGUUCAAAGCUUACACUUCUGAGUCCCGAAAUAUCAACCAAUGCAUCAACAUCAAUUUUUCCCGAUAAACCCAUAUUCUCAAGGCGAAGACCCAUGACAUUGCCAUUGCUACAAAGAAGUCCUUUCCACUGAGCGUCUCCUCCACAAGGAGCUGAUCCAGGUACCCAAGAACUAAGAGCACUUGCGUUGGUAAAAGAAUUCUUUAGCUUAAUCAAGGUUUCAGAAUCGGAUUUCGAUGACGUAGAAGUAAAUUGGAGUAUGAAAAUCAAGAUGAACACAAGAAAAACUGGCCGGAGAAGCCAAUCCAAAGCCAUAACUUGGGUGGAAACAAAUGAGAGAUUUUCCUUGGGCUGUAAAAUUUUUUGUGGCUUUUUGUUGUUCUCGCAGGUUUUGCGCUUCUUGUGUCGAUUUUCGUUGGUGUGUUCAUGGUGUUUGUUUUGAGUAAGUGCAAGAGAGCCU
rnacentral:misc_RNA from 1 species